rnacentral:lncRNA from 1 species
AGAUGUUGGGCCCGCCCUCUUGGGUAGAUGGUGUUGCGGUCGUAGACUGUGCCCAGAGUUAUUCUAGCGGCAGCAUCUCCUUUGCCUCCGACUCUUUCUAAGGCUGCAGGCCUGAAAAACCCUGUCGCUCCUUCCGGAGGACACCGAGCGAGCGCCCUAAGGAGAGACUAAAGCCCUCUCUUCAAUCCCGUGCUGUCUUCUGCAGAGCGGGAAGCCGUGGCUCCUCCAUUCCUUUCUGGCUUCAGGCGUCGGUUUCCCCAAAUUGGUGGUAUUCCCAGGAAAUAAAGAGAAACUGCCAACGCUAGGCGCGGGAUGCUGCGCGAGAAACGAAAAAAUGAGUCGGUCUCUCAGGAGCUUCGGCCCAGGUAUGAAUAUGCAGCACCGCAUUAUACCCUGGGCAGAUGAUGGACUUGUGCUCUAUAAUCACUAUCUGUCAAAAUAAAAACAAAAGAAAAGCCUCAGAACUAUCUUCAAUGCUCUAAAGUAUACUGUAGCUGUCUUCAGACAAUCCAGAAGAGCUCGUUACAGAUGACUGUGAGCCAUCAUGUGGUUGCUGAGGUUUGAACUCAGGACGACCUUCAGGAGCAGCCGGUGCUCUUAACCGCUGAAUCAUCUCUCCAGCCCCUACCUGGUAAAUUUUUACAGCAUCUUGGAACUGUGAGAUACUAUAGUUGUAAUGUACAAAUGAGUCCCUCUGAUACAGGUCAUGUGGCAUGUCACAAAUACUCAGGACAAAGGCACUGAAAUUAAGUUUUAACAACCAUGAAGAUGAUCUUUACCUGAGCAUCAAAUGUGCGUCCAGAAUGACAAAGAUUAUUAAGAUCACAAAGGAUGAAUCCUGGAAGAAUCUCUUCCUCUUCAAUUCCUUUCAGUCUGAUUUUGAGGUUUUCACCUGGAGCUACAGAGUCCGUUUCUACAUCAUCAGAAAGUAUUCCAAGAACUUCCACGUUGUGCUUAAAAAGAAACCAAAGUUGGAAGUUUUCUGACACAUGCACAUUUUAUAAGAUAUAAAAUUACCUUGAUGCUUAUUAAGAAGCUACAAAUCUAAAAGUCAAAAUAAAGAUAAAAUAUUUUAGCCAGAAAUAAACUUUUGAGGAAAAGAAAGGGGGUCAAUCUUGGCUUGUCAGACAAGCACUCUGCCGCCUGCUGCGGUUGCAGAUGUCACAAUUUGUUGUUUUUAAACAACACAUUCUAACAACUUCUAAGUAGAAUACAGAACAAACUUCAUUUUCAGAAUGAAACCAUUGUAAUGAUUAGUACUGUCAACCUGACAAGAUCUAGAAUCACUAAGAGGUAAAUGCCCAGGUGCACCUGUGAGGGUCAGUCCCUGGGCACGCUUGCACACAAUUCCCUUAAGCUAACUGAUGUGGGAAGAAUCCGCUUUACUGUGGCCGAGGUCAUUCUGAGCUGGGAGAAAGUGAGCGGAGCGCUAGUGUUUAUCCUCCUCUGUUCACAAAUGCAUUGUGAUAGAUCAGUGCCUUCGAACUUCUGUGGCUUUGACUUUCCUGCCUUGAUGGACUGUACCCUUUAACUAAGAAGAGCUGAAAUAAAGCCUUGGUCCUUUGAGUUGCUUCGCUCAGCUCCCCAAAACUAUUGAUUUUAAGCAUGAGUGUUUUACCCACAUGUGUGCCUGGUGCCUGAAAGGUCAGAAGUGGUAACAUCAGAUGCCCUGGAACUGGAGAGAUGUUUCACUGGGAGCCACUGUGUCACUGUUGGGAAAUGAACCCAGGUCGUCAGCAAGAGCAAGAAAGAGCUCCUUAACCACUAAACCAUCUCUCCAGCCUCAUUGCUUUGGUUUUAGAAAAUUACUUUCAUUUAUAUAUAGGUGUGUGCUCAUCUCUGUGUGAAGAGUGCCGUGUAUUGCAUGAAUCAAGUUCCCUUUAAGAGCUGAGUCACCUCUCCAGCCUCUUCCUUGAGUUGUUUCUCUCAGAGUAUUUUAUCAACCACAGGAAACUAAGACAAACAUCAAAUUUAAUAACUGGAUUUUUAACUCUCUUAAAUUUAAAUUUCAGAAUUCAAGAAUUUUUCCCCCACAGCAGGUCAAUCCUCAAUUAAGGAGGUAUUUACCUAGAAAGCAUUAAAAACAUCAAUUUGUUUCUUGGUAUAAUUUUAUAAUACAUCAAAUAAAAAUCAUCAAAUCUAGCUUUAAACCCAUU